AAAAAAAAAAAAAAAUUGGGGGCAGGACAAAUGGCAAAGCAGUGUUUGGACCGCAGGAUGAACAAUCAAUAGGCAGAAAGCAAGAUUGAGGUUUCCUCAGCUUUUGGAUCGACAAUCGACAGCUGAGAGACUAUUUUUUGCUAUGGUUGACUAAAUAUGGUCAGGGAAGAGAGAGGCACAAGAGAGCCUGUUUGCCUGGGAGUGCAUGUUUCAAAUGCUUAGCUGCCUAUAAAGCUGUAACAGUUUAGCCUGUGGUCACUGAGGAAGAAUAUAAGUUAGCCUUGUAGUGACCAUGUGGAAGUCCUGACCUCGAUUGCAGACUUGACCUCUGGAUGUGACAAGGUGAGGUUCUGUGUUCACUGACAAAUCCCCUUCCUUCACCGGGCUCAUGAAAAGAAAUUGCUGAAUCAGCGAAUAGAGUGAACGAACAAUCAAGAUGAGAUGGCUGCUGCUGAUGUGACUCUCUAGGUCAUUACCUUUCUUCCUGCUGCAAAUGCUGCAUGACACUAAGCUUUCAGGAUCUAGAAGCAGACUACAAAAAAAGAAGAAAUUCACUCUGAAGAUUGAAGAAACAAUAGGCUGAUUUUAAGUUUCUGAAAUACACUCUGUAACACUACACUAAUUCUAUGAAUCUGUUGCAAAAAGAAUCAAACCAGGACAAAGUUCAACAGAUAACUGGUCAAAUGUUUAGGAAUGUCUAUGUCCACCAAGAAUAUGGAACCAUUAAUGCCAUGCUUCAGGUAAAUUUGUUACAAAGUUUACUCUUCAAUAAAUUAGUCUCUGCAAAUGAUUUACCAUUGCUCUACAUUAGUAAGCUGAAUGUUUUGCUAACAAAUAAGAAAAUAAAAUAUUUCAUGUUUUUACAGCUAACAACCUAGUAAUACCUACUCAGAGUACAUACUUCUUUAUGUACCCAUAUGAACAUACAAUGCUAUGGAAUGUAAAGAAGUAUGUAUUUUUGGUAGGCAAUAAACCACCAAGAGAGAAUUAAACUGCAGCUAAAAGAAGCUCUUGCUUCUUUCCACGUAAAUGACCUUCAUAAGGUAAAUUAGUCAUGAACAGAUGACCUUUGGCAGUAUUAACACCCAAAAAAAAAAAAAAAAAAAAAAGGCUAUCUGCUACUUAUAGAUAGAAACUAAAUAUCCCUAAGGUUUUUAUUUCAUGAAGGAAAAGAAGUUCCAGUGAAGUAGAUUUCAAUUAUCAUGAAAUUCCUUUUAAAUCAUUUAAGUUUAAAACAUAUAUCUUACAUUAAGUACUCUCAUUAUUAAAAUUUGACUACAAAAGAGACAACAGUAUUACUAGCACAAAAGAAUGAGGAAUAUAUAUGACCUAUUUUCUGUCUCCACAAUUUGAUCUUAGUGGGGCUCACUUAUUUGUAUAGAAAAAUAAGAUAGUAAGAGCUGGCUUCAUUCACAUAAUAAGCUAUUUCUUCACAUUUUAAUAAAUGUAUAUAAUCCAUUAAUAUUAGAGGAAUUUCUGAACUGAAAAGUUUUGUUGUUUUAAAAAGGUUUUCUUUUUUGACAGCUACAAUCAUAGUUAUAAUUCUUAAAGACUAUCUUUUAAGUACGGCUCUACUGUCAAAAAAAAAAAAGUGGCCCUUGUCCUUCUCAAGUUCAUCAGGGUCUUAACCCAAUCUCUACUUUAAAUGUGAAGUUAAAACUUAAAAUUAAUUAAAAUGUAAGAUUUAAGCAGGAAAAAUGAUAAAAUUCUGGGCCACAGCUGUAAGUCAGCAGGGUAUAUUGGUAAGAGACUACGAAAUAUUUAAAAGAAAUUAACUUAUUAUCUGUAAUUUCUUUGAAUUUGCUUCUCCAAAGGGGGAAUGUAAAAUGAAAGCACUAUAGUCAAGAACCAAUUUAUAUAGAUAGAAUAACUGUUUUUAUUAGUACUAUGUAAUUACAAUUCAGUUCCUCUAAACAUGAUCAAUCCAUUGUUUAUGUUAGAAACAUCAAAAUACUUUAAUUUCACAUAGUUUGUAUAUUAUUUAUUUUAAAAUUCCAAAUAAUGCUGUUGGCAAAAUUUAUAAGCAGUUCUUGUUUUAAGCUACUAAUGACAAAGUUAAAAAAAAAAAAAAAAGAAAUAGUAGUACUCAUGUAUUCUAACCAUUUCUUAGUAAACAUAUUAUUUCAACUGAAAUAUCUGCACAUGUAUAAAAAGCAUAUUUUAAAUUUUUUGUAUCAGAAAUUGAAUAGAAAUGACUAUACAUUUAACUAUAGUUCAUUUUCUCUCUGUUUAAUAAGACAACUAGUUAACAGAAAGAUGAUUUUCAUUUUAUCAGCAGAUUAUAAAGAUGAUAAUGACUAUUACACAUGGCAUCAUAUAUGUUACUUCAUUUUUACUGGAAAUUAUAAAAGACACCUAAUUUUAAAUUCUGUAUUUUCAAAGAAAUUAGUUCAAAGCUUAAUUCACAUAAACAUAGCCCUUCUGAUCAUCCACAAAACAGAAUGGCCAUGAUUCAUGUUCAAUUUAGGAAGUUUACCUGUAUAGGUCCUAAAUACCGAGAACUCAAAAUAUAUACCUCAAAAAUAGAGGCUCUUCUAUAAAACUACUCAAAGGCUAUUACUCUACUUGUGUUUUAUAAUAAACAAUUAUAUUGGUCAUUCUAUAGGUAUACAAGUUGUUUAAUAAUCCUUCUUAACCAUCCCAGCAACUAAGAAUCUCUUUGCUAUAAUAUUAAGACUAUAUAAAUAAUCCUUAGAAAAUAAAAUGACAGGCUUUCAUUUUCAAAAGUAAAAUUAUAUACUGAUUCUGGUGCUUACAAAUUUAACUUAACAUAUCUAAGAGUAUUUUCAAUCACUCUAAAAUGUCACAUCUAUCACUUAGAUCAGCUGUUCAUUUUUAACUGAGUACAUAUUAAACUCUGGGCAUCUGCUGACACUGGUAUAACUCAAACAUUUCAACUGUCUCCCUGACAGGGAUAACAGAUGCUGACAUUAUCAAAUGUUGUACUAUUUUUUUCCCAUGGCCUCUCCUUGCCCCGAUAUGGCCAGUAUAUGAAACUGAACUGCCAUCCAAAAGCACACUUGAGCAACUGGAUCUGCUAAACAGCUCCCAUAUAACUUGUAAAAAUAGAAGCCAGUGUUAUUGCUAUCUUCAGCACUUAAGUUCAAGCAGUUUAACACCUGUUUCACUUCUACUAGAAUAAAUGAUGAAAAAGAAUUGCAGUUACAUUAAUUUCACCAGCAGCAUGACACUUAACCAACAGAUGCAAAAUAUACUUAAUAUAAGAAUCAUUUGCAUAUUGCCUGAAUUAGUGUUGACUUCCCAGUUUAGUUUAAAACAGUAACUAUAACGAAUACUUCUCUAUUUUUCUGAGAGCACUUAACUUUAUAGGCAAAUUAUAAUUUAUUAAACUUUUAUUUUAUGCAAGUAUGUUUCAGAAAGCACACCUCCCAGGAUAUUGAAAUCAACAGUAAAACCACAUUAUAACAAAAAUUUACUCUGAUUUUUCAAGUAUUAUUCACACAAUAGAUUUUAAUACUUGUAUUCAUGGAUUGCAACUAACCACCAUAAGUCAAUGUAUCACUAAGUCGAUAAUGAGAAGUAACUAGGCAAUCUGUACCCAAAAUGACAAAGAACUUAGUCAAGGAAAUAGACCUUUAAAAGGGUUAAAUUACUAACCUAUGAUUAGUAACACUACGUAAGCAAAAACAAAGAAAAACUGGCAUGCGUGGUAGUUCCUUUCAACACAAGUCCAAGCAUUACACUGAAUACACAUGUGAUCUAUUUAUAAAUCAAAAGGCAGAGAGGUACUUGCUUAAGGCCACUGAUCCACCCACUGUCAAUAAUUUGCUAUUAGUCCUCAAUUAUAAUGCUAAGAAGGGAGUGACUAACAGAACUCUUCCCUAACCUAUUAGAUUAACUACUUAAGUAAUCUAGUUUACUACCUAGCGAUAAAUGGAAAACAUUACACUAAAAUACAUCAAGGUCUAUUUGUUCCUUUAAAUACUAUUGGUUUUGAAACAGCUUAUUGUCUACAUUUAAGAAUUAACCAAAGACUUCAGCUGUGGACACGAUUAGAAAAAUGAAAAGAAUCAAGCAAAGAUGUUGAAAAUAAAGAUGUACAUUGAUCAUUCCUUAAUGCAGUAAUGUGUUAAAAGGAAAAGACUUUUAAACCAUUAAAACUUUUAAACCAUUAAGUGCAGGAAAGAGUAGGAAAGUGACUUCAGAAUGGAAAAUUUGGCAUUUAGUGACUGAAGCAGUGGUAUGAUAAUUUCUAACACUUGCAGAAGGUCCAUGAUUGUAAUUUUACCAAUGAAAAGCAUUUAACUGUUUUGGAUCCCAAACUAGCAGCACUACAAUGCUUUGCUAGAGCUGGUAAAAUGGAACCAAAUCGCCUCUUCAAUGGAUUUGGUCCCCUUCAACCAGCUGUAGCUAUGCAUUGAUUACUACAGGACAACCAACGUUUUCAUUUGUGAAUAACAAUUACUUGUCAACUAAUUUCAACUUACUUAAAUUAUUCAGACUGUGAUUACAAUCAAAUAACUUGUUACUGUUAAUUCUACCUGGAAAAGCUAGACUGGUUAAAGAUGUUUAUAAAAACCUUUAUGAAAAAUGUGUGGAUGACUUAAGGAUUUCAAAUAAAAAUUAUACUUAAUAUAAUCUCUUUGUAUUAAAUUUCUUAUCCUUCAGAAAACAAAAGAACUGGUAAUAAAAUGUAGGCUAUGCUUUACAAUAACACAACAACAAAAACUCCCUUCAAAGAAAGCAAGCAUCUGGAAAGGUCACCUAAAAGCCACCUGAAAACAGAAUGGGAUUGUACAGUGUGGUUCACAUGGAUGUGUGCAUAUUGUGGAUUAAAGAAAACUAUAACAUUAUUACAUAAGAUAACACUGUAGAAAUGUUUAGUCACCAUAUUCCAUAGAAUUGGCCUUUAAUUUUACCACUAUUUACCCAAAUGUUAGCAGGUAAGGUAAAAAAGAUGAUACUAUAGAGUAUCUUGUGGAGAGGCUUAAAACAGUAUCUAGUUCUGCUGACCCUGAACCAAAGGUAUUUAGUCCUCAAAAAAGAAAGAAAAUGCUAAGCAUCACUACUUUUUACUCAUGAAAUAUUUCACCUUUCCAUAUUUGUUUUCUCAGCUGUAAAAUAAAAACUCUGCUAGUGAUAAAUGCUUUGACUCUCCUCACUGUCUUCUUUGUCCCUAAUAAAAUAUAUAUAAUAUUCUCCUUCAGUGGGGAUAAACUGAAGGAAAGGAAAAUAACAAGUAACCUAACAUCCACGUAAUUUUCUUAAUGAUUUCAAUCAGACUAGAUAAUUUAAUAUUAUUUAAUAGAGACAAAACAUUUCAACAAUUAAUAAAGAUUACUGAAGACAAGAGUAGUUUAAAAACCUAGACGUUCACACAUUCUCAACUCCUGACCACUCCUCCGUUUCAAGAUGAAAAUCAUUCUCUAAAAGACUGUGGGCAACAGGAGAUACAUAUAAAUAUGUAUCUUUUCACUUUAUUCAAGAUCUUCUUCUUGCUAUUAAUUACAUCUCAGUCACGGUAAAUACAUUUAUGUAUUACAAGACAUAUAGUGUUUGAGAGUAGAUGCAUGAGCAUACAUUAGAGAAAAUGGGCAUACUCUUUAAGUAUCCUAUUACUCAACAGACUGACCUAUAUUUUGUAGAUAGCACUCAGCAUGUUCACAGUUGUAAGGAAAGCAUUAAACACCAAAAUACAGUACAGCUUAUCAAAUCUUCAAAUAGUCAACAUAGUCUUGUUUACAGACUAUAUAUCAGAAUUUAAAAAGUAAAAAGGGCAUCAUAACAUUCUAGAGGGAAAACUAUGAGUUGAUCACAUAUUCAGUAAGAUUUUUAAUAUGUGUCUUUGUGGGAAUUAGUAAGAAAUGCCUGUGAAAUUAUCUUAGUACCAGUCUAAAAACAUAACAAAUAUAUAUCACAUCAGGUGAUUCACUCAUAUUUUACUUUUACUUUUCACAUUCAAUUUCUAUUAAAGAAAAAUUUGUAAAUAAUACUAUAUAAAGUAACUUUAUAAUUAUAUUAAUGUUACCUGUACUUCCAAAAUACCUAUUGAUUGUUUUUGCCAGCUCUGCAGAGAAUACUGCUGACUAAUUUAUUUUCAUGCCUGUGAGGGAGCUCUAAAAACUUAGCUAAAAAUGCAGCAUCUUUACAGAAAGUACCUAAGUAACAUGCUGAUUACGCUACUCUGAAGAAAUUCAGUUUUCACCUUUAUCAGCAGAAAUAAUUUCUGCUCUUGCUUUAAAUCUGAAAUUUUACCUGUAUACUAAGAGAUGAUAAAUAUGGCUAAACUCUAGGGGGAAACAUGCCUAUAAAUAUUAGCUAUUAUAAUAGAAAAACAGCAUUGUUCUUAGUAUUGAUACAUUCACUGCCCGUGUGUUUUGGUUUUGCUUCACAAACAGACCACAAUAGAGUAAAAGUGAUAUAAAGUGGUUUAACAGUUAUGAUUCUAAAGUCACCUAGACCUUGCUCAAGUUACAGGUGCUUCAGUAAUCAGCUAUGUGUUCUUGGAUAAUUAAAUUCAGCUCUAUAAGCCUCAUAUUCUUCACCUAUAAAAUGAGGAUAUUAACACCUGCCUCAAAAAGCUGUUGAAAGGAUUAAGUGAGAUGAUGCAUGUAAGGCACUUUGCAGAGACUGGCACAUGGUAAGUGCUAUCAUAAUCUUCUGUUUGAAGGGCAGGGAAAAUAUAAUACUACUGUCUCCUUCAUAAUGCCAAAAUCUGAAAAGUUCAAAUAUUUGUAAUUUGGGGAAAAAAAAUCAUGAUGUGAUCUAAAAUAUGGUCAUUAACUUUAUCCUACAUUAUAUACCCACUGUUACAGUUACCAAUAAGCAGUAGGAAUAAAAUCCUUUUGUUUUCUGUGGUCACCCUCUAGUGGUGAUCCUAAGAAACUUAAAAAGAUCCAAAAAAAAAAA